rnacentral:rRNA from 1 species
UGGGGAAUAUUGCACAAUGGAGGGAACUCUGAUGCAGCGACGCCGCGUGAACGAAGAAGGCUUUCGAGUCGUAAAGUUCUUUUAUAUGGGAAGAUAAUGACGGUACCAUAAGAAAAAGCCCCGGCUAACUACGUGCCAGCAGCCGCGGUAAUACGUAGGGGGCUAGCGUUGUCCGGAAUCACUGGGCGUAAAGGGUUCGCAGGCGGAAAUGCAAGUCAGGUGUAAAAGGCAGUAGCUUAACUACUGUAAGCAUUUGAAACUGCAUAUCUUGAGAAGAGUAGAGGUAAGUGGAAUUUUUAGUGUAGCGGUGAAAUGCGUAGAUAUUAAAAAGAAUACCGGUGGCGAAAGCGACUUACUGGGCUAAUUCUGACGCUGAGGAACGAAAGCGUGGGUAGCAAACAGG